rnacentral:rRNA from 1 species
UUGGAGGGCAAGUCUGGUGCCAGCAGCCGCGGUAAUUCCAGCUCCAAUAGCGUAUAUUAAAGUUGUUGCAGUUAAAAAGCUCGUAGUUGAAUUUCGGGGUCAGUAGGCUGGUCGUGCCUCAGGUACGUACUGGUCUUACUGAUUCCUCCUUCCUGACGAACCGUAAUGCCAUUAAUUUGGUGUUGCGGGGAAUCUGGACUGUUACUUUGAAAAAAUUAGAGUGUUUAAAGCAGGCUAACGCUUGAAUACAUUAGCAUGGAAUAAUGAAAUAGGACGUUCGAUCUUAUUUUGUUGGUUUCUAAGAUUGACGUAAUGAUUAAUAGGGAUAGUUGGGGGCAUUAGUAUUCAAUUGUCAGAGGUGAAAUUCUUGGAUUUAUUGAAGACUAACUACUGCGAAAGCAUUUGCCAAGGAUGUUUUCAUUAAUCAAGAACGAAAGUUAGGGGAUCGAAGACGAUCAGAUACCGUCGUAGUCUUAACCAUAAACUAUGCCGACUAGGGAUCGGAUGAUGUUAAUUUUUUAAUGACUCAUUCGGCGCCUUACGGGAAA